ACGCACGCUGGCGGCGUGCCUAAUCCAUGCAAGUUGAGCGCUGAAGGUUGGUACUUGUACCGACUGGAUGAGCAGCGAACGGGUGAGUAACGCGUGGGGAAUCUGCCUUUGAGCGGGGGACAACAUUUGGAAACGAAUGCUAAUACCGCAUAAAAACUUUAAACACAAGUUUUAAGUUUGAAAGAUGCAAUUGCAUCACUCAAAGAUGAUCCCGCGUUGUAUUAGCUAGUUGGUGAGGUAAAGGCUCACCAAGGCGAUGAUACAUAGCCGACCUGAGAGGGUGAUCGGCCACAUUGGGACUGAGACACGGCCCAAACUCCUACGGGAGGCAGCAGUAGGGAAUCUUCGGCAAUGGACGAAAGUCUGACCGAGCAACGCCGCGUGAGUGAAGAAGGUUUUCGGAUCGUAAAACUCUGUUGGUAGAGAAGAACGUUGGUGAGAGUGGAAAGCUCAUCAAGUGACGGUAACUACCCAGAAAGGGACGGCUAACUACGU
rnacentral:rRNA from 1 species